rnacentral:lncRNA from 1 species
GUUAUUUGGAAGAGGAAUGCUUUGCUGAACAGGACAGCACAGGAUGACUUACGAUUCCUGUUCUUCAUGGGAGACUGUAUGGAUUGUCACUUUUGAAUGGAGAUCAGACGAAGCAGAAUUGAACAUAGCACUGAAGAUAAGAGGUGCCAUGGAUGUGUAUUGUAGCAGUCCCGGCAGAACGCUACAGCUUCUUUCCCUCUUCAGUGUUCUUGGCUUGUGGAGUCAUAAGCCUCUGUGGAACUUCAGAUGGAAAUACUGACAUGAAUUUAAGAGCUUUGAUGCCUUCAGAUGUUGAACUCUGAUUUGGUAAAUGACCAGGAAUAAGAUACUGCCUGAACAAGCUGAAAUGCCUUGAAGACCUUUUGGUUCUG